UACGUAGGGUGCAGGCGUUAAUCGGAAUUACUGGGCGUAAAGCGUGCGCAGGCGGUGCACCAAGCUCGAUGUGAAAGCCCCGGGCUUAACCUGGGAAUUGCAUUGAGGACUGGUGUGCUCGAGUGCGGCAGAGGGGGGUGGAAUUCCACGUGUAGCAGUGAAAUGCGUAGAGAUGUGGAGGAACACCGAUGGCGAAGACAGCCCCCUGGGCCGACACUGACGCUCAUGCACGAAAGCGUGGGGAGCGAACAGG
rnacentral:rRNA from 1 species